UACGGAGGGUGCGAGCGUUGCCCGGAUUUAUUGGGCGUAAAGGGCGCGUAGGUGGUUCUGUGUGCUCCGCGUGAAAUCGCCCGGCUCAACCGGGCGGGGUCGCGGAUGACUACAGGACUGGAGCCUGGGAGGGGGAAGCGGAAUUCCCGGUGUAGUGGUGGAAUGCGUAGAUAUCGGGAGGAACACCUAUGGCGAAGGCAGCUCGCUGGGACGUUACUGACGCUGAGACGCGAAAGCGUGGGGAGCAAACAGG
rnacentral:rRNA from 1 species